rnacentral:lncRNA from 1 species
UCCUGGCUCCCAGGCACACACUUCCCACCUUCAUAGCUGUAUCCUUUGGGAGCUUUGAACCCUGGUGGGGGGUGGAGGUGGGAGAAAGUCGGUUACUAGGUGUAGAGGAGAAUGGCUGGGACUUGAACCCCCUCACCCCACAACCAGAUCCUGAUAAUGGGGACUGCAGUUGACUGCAGCCUGACCAGUCAGUCCCUUCUAGGGCUUAGUUGAGUCUUCCUUUGUCAGCCUAUGGCGCUAAAAUUAGGUAGAAUUGGGAACAGGGGCGGGGCUGGGUUGACUGCAACUUUGCUGGCUCCUGGUGAUCUGGAUUCUCCAAGAGAGAGAUCUGUGAGGGCUGAGGUCACUACAAACACUGCCAACUACACCGCCUACACCAUCACCACUCAGCCCCUAACCCCCACCCAGCCGCCCCUGAGUGCCUCUCCUACCUGCACAGAGGCCACAAAGGGCUGGGAAGAUCCUACCUCAACCCCCCAGCCUCCCAGGGGACAAAGAGUCUGCAGCCUACCGUGCAUUUGUCAUCCAUGUGCUCAGCGUUCUUACUGGGAUGUGGCUCCCUUCCACUCAUCUCUGCCACCUGAGAGAUGGGGUCUCGGGCUGUCUUUGAAUUCCCGUCAUAGCUGAAGAGGAACCUGAGCUUCUGCUUCUCUCAUCUCUGCUUCCUGAGCUGCCACCGCGCCAGUCUCUGCAGUGGUAAGGAUCGAACCCAGGAUUUCAAGCACUCGAGGGUGCUCAGUUUGGUUUUGAAGUAGAUACCACAUUCCCAACCCCCGGUUCAGCCUCCAGGGUCCUGCGAUUAUGUGAGUAUGUCUCCAUCAAAUUGAAAAUUUACAAACUCUUUUUAUCUUUCCUUUUUCAUAGAAUAAAGACGACUAGGGGAGGAGAGCAGAGACCACAGGCCCAGGGACGCGACGUGAAGUUUGAACCCAGAGCACCCUAAUUUUGUGCUCCCUAACAGAUGCUUGAGAACAAAACACAAAAAUCAACAACCAUAGAUGGAAUCAUGAUUGACUUAUGGUUUUGAUUUGCACUUUCAAUAUUCAGUCACUCUGGACGUGAUAGCAUAUGCCUAUAAUUUCAGUGAGGUAGGAUGGCCAGUCUGGGCUACAUAGUAAGACUCUGGCUCAAAAACGAACAACAGUAACAACAAAAAAGGAAAAGGAAAGGAGGAAGGGGAAAGAGGAAGAAGAGGAGGAGGAAAAAAAGAGAGGGGUGAUGGGUUCAGUUUGCUCCCUGGGGAAUAUUUAGCAGGAUUCUUUUUAGGUGCUGGGCA